rnacentral:rRNA from 1 species
UGUAAGCGUAUACCAAAGUUGUUGCAGUUAAAACGCUCGUAGUCGGAAUUUGGCAGUUCCGGAUGUGUGCACGUCGUGUGCGCACUUCGCGGGGAUUGCUUUUGUGGUCUUGCGUAGGAUGAGGCACUUUUAUUAGUGAACGUCCUCACGCAACCACUUUUUACUGUGAGAAAAUCAGAGUGCUCAAAGCAGGCAUUUGCCGUGAAUGUAUUAGCAUGGAAUAAUAGAAUAGGACUUGGUUCUAUUUUGUUGGUUUGUUGGGACUGAGUAAUGACUAAGAGGGACAGUUGGGGGCAUUUGUAUUUCGGUGCUAGAGGUGUAAUUCUUAGAUUACCGAAAGACAAACUGCUGCGAAAGCGUCUGCCAAGGAUGUUUUCAUUGA